rnacentral:rRNA from 1 species
UCCCCGCAAGGGGGGAAGCGGCGAAAGGGGCAGUAAUGCGUGGGUAACCUACCCCGGGGACUGGUAUAGCCCUUCGAGAGAAGGGGUAAUCCCGGGCGAUGUGUCGAGGGGGCAUCCUCUUGCCACCAAAUGAGUUUCGCCCCGGGAGGGGCCCACGUGAUAUUAGCUAGUUGGUAGGGUAACGGCCUACCAAGGCGAAGAUGUCUAGCGGGUGUGAGAGCACGACCCGCGCCACUGGCACUGAGACACUGGCCAGACACCUACGGGUGGCUGCAGUCGAGGAUCUUCGGCAAUGGGCGCAAGCCUGACCGAGCGACGCCGCGUGGGCGAUGAAGGCCUUCGGGUUGUAAAGCCCUGUCGAGGGGGAGAAAAUUUGAUCUAUCCCUGGAGGAAGCACGGGCUAAGUUCGUGCCAGCAGCCGCGGUAAGACGAACCGUGCGAACGUUGUUCGGAAUCACUGGGCUUAAAGGGCGCGUAGGCGGGCCGCCAAGUCCGCGGUGAAAUCCCCCGGCUCAACCGGGGAACUGCCGCGGAUACUGGAGGUCUCGUGGGAGGUAGGGGCAUGCGGAACUGCGGGUGGAGCGGUGAAAUGCGUUGAUAUCCGCAGGAACUCCGGUGGCGAAGGCGGCGUGCUGGACCUUUUCUGACGCUGAGGCGCGAAAGCCAGGGGAGCGAACGGGAUUAGAUACCCCGGUAGUCCUGGCCCUAAACGAUGGGAACUAGGUUGUAGGCUAGACAUGGGCUUACAGCCGAAGCAAAAGUGCUAAG